rnacentral:lncRNA from 1 species
GGCCGAGCCUCGGGGAAUUCCGCUCGUUGGUCGGCCAAGGCUGGCGCAAGCCGAGGCGACCGGUCGGGGCUUCAGGCUAGUCUGCUCCCGGGAUGAUCAUCGAGUUAGCCUGGCAUCCGAGGACUGAGCCUCGGGGAAUUCCGCUCGUUGGUCGCGCGCCUAUCACUUGCCGCUCGACGGGGUUUCUCCGUGGCCAGCUGCGAUCGUAUUUCUCCUCCUCUCGACGCGUCGCCUGGGGAACACCAGAAGGCUAUUAAAUGCUAAUUGAGGCGUUACCUGGGAAAUCGGAUCGGCCAGUUGCUGCUUGCGAGGAGUGCCAGUUAAGCGGCCGCGAUACGUGCGUUCUUCGAGGCGGAUGCGGCCUGGGCGCGUGCGGAGAUACGUGUGCCGUGGGAUACACGCCGCCCGGAG